GAUAACAGGCUGAUCUUCCCCAAGAGUUCACAUHGACGGGAAGGUUUGGCACCUCGAUGUCGGCUCUUCGCCACCUGGGGCUGUAGUAUGUUCCAAGGGUUGGGCUGUUUGCCCAUUAAGCGGUACGUGAGCUGGGUUCAGAACGUCGUGAGACAGUUC
rnacentral:ncRNA from 1 species